rnacentral:rRNA from 1 species
GUCCACGCCCUAAACUAUGAACACUCGAUGUUAGCGAUAUACAGUUAGCGUCUAAGCGAAAGCGUUAAGUGUUCCACCUGGGGAGUACGCCCGCAAGGGUGAAACUCAAAGGAAUUGACGGGGGCCCGCACAAGCGGAGGAGCAUGUGGUUUAAUUCGAUGAUACGCGAGGAACCUUACCCGGGCUUGAAAGUUAGUGAAUUGAGCAGAGACGCUCAAGUCCUUCGGGACACGAAACUAGGUGCUGCAUGGCUGUCGU